rnacentral:rRNA from 1 species
UACGUAGGGGGCAAGCGUUGUCCGGAUUUAUUGGGCGUAAAGAGCGUGUAGGCGGCUUGGUAGGUCCGCUGUGAAAACUCGAGGCUCAACCUCGAGAUGUCGGCGGAAACCACUUGGCUAGAGUCCGGAAGAGGAGAGUGGAAUUCCUGGUGUAGCGGUGGAAUGCGCAGAUAUCAGGAGGAACACCGGUGGCGAAGGCGGGAUCCUGGGCCAGUACUGACGCUGAGGAGCGAAAGCGUGGGGAGCGAACAGG